rnacentral:rRNA from 1 species
CUAUGCGCCUUGCCACGCCCGCUCAAGAAACUUUAAAUGAAUUGACUGGGCCCCGCACAAGCAGCGGAGCGUGUGGUUUAAUUCGAUGCUACACGAAGAACCUUACCAGGGUUUGACAUACAAGUAGUAGGGAAAGGAAACUGGACCGACCCUUCGGGGAGCUUGAACAGGUGCUGCAUGGCUGUCGUCAGCCCGUGUCAUGAGAUGUUCGGUUAAGUCCGCUAACGAGCGCAACCCUCGCUGUGUGUUACAAGUGUCACACGGAACUGCCGGUCAUAAACCGGAGGAAGGUGGGGAUGACGUCAAGUCAGCAUGGCCUUUAUAUCCUGGGCUACACACACGCUACAAUGGGAAGGGACAAUAGGUUGCGAAACCGCGAGGUGGAGCCAAUCCAGCAAAACUUCCCUCAGUUCAGAUUGCAGGCUGCAACUCGCCUGCAUGAAGUUGGAGUUGCUAGUAAACGCAGGUCAGCCAUACUGCGUUGAAUACGUUCCCGGGGCUU